UACGUAGGGGGCAAGCGUUGUCCGGAUUUAUUGGGCGUAAAGAGCGUGUAGGCGGCCAGAUAGGUCCGUUGUGAAAACUCGAGGCUCAACCUCGAGACGCCGGUGGAAACUGCAAAGCUAGAGUCCGGAAGAGGAGAGUGGAAUUCCUGGUGUAGCGGUGAAAUGCGCAGAUAUCAGGAAGAACACCCGUGGCGAAGGCGGCUCUCUGGGACGGUACUGACGCUGAGACGCGAAAGCGUGGGGAGCGAACAGG
rnacentral:rRNA from 1 species